UCCUACGGGGGGCAGCAGUGGGGGAUAUUGCACAAUGGGGGAAACCCUGAUGCAGCGACGCCGCGUGUGGGAAGACGGUCCUCUGGAUUGUAAACCACUGUCCCCAGGGACGAAGAUGACGGUACCUGGGGAGGAAGCUCCGGCUAACUACGUGCCAGCAGCCGCGGUAAUACGUAGGUGGCAAGCGUUGUCCGGAUUUACUGGGUGUAAAGGGCGUGUAGCCGGGCCGGCAAGUCAGAUGUGAAAUCCCAAGGCUCAACCUUGGAACUGCAUUUGAAACUGUUGGUCUUGAGUAUCGGAGAUGC
rnacentral:rRNA from 1 species